GCUGACUCUGUACUCUCUCUUUCCUCAUCCACAUAUCUUCUACAGCGGAGUCGACGGGAGAAGGGGCAGCAGCCGCCGGGCGGGGUCGACGGCGGCCGUCGGGCUGGGGAGGCGACGACGGCUUGCGGCAAGUGGAGGACUCGAUUUGGGGGUUUCUUUGUUUUUUAAAAAAGAAUUUGUGAUUCAUUGGAUCUGUGUUAUUUGAUAUGUGAUGUAAUUUUUUUUAGAAUUUGUGAUGUAUUUUUUUGAUAAUUUUUGACAUGAAUCUUAUGAUUUGUGAUGUUGUUACUUUGAUUUGGAGAUGUAGGGAGCAACUCGAUUUGGAAUUUAUGAUGAUUUUGUGAUUUUGAUG
rnacentral:sRNA from 1 species